CCAUCAUCACCAUCAUCCUGACUAGUCUUUCAGGCGAUGUGUGCUGGGAGACGGUUCUUGAAUCUUCCAGUGGCGCGUAGAACGUAAAAAACGCAUGAGAAAGCCCUCGGAAGAUAUCUUCCGAGGGUUUUUUUUU
rfam:Serratia sp. DD3 SRDD_contig000084, whole genome shotgun sequence.